GUUGUUUGUUUGAAGCAUAAAUUGAUAGAUAUGUUCCAGUAUUUAACAGCAUGAUGUUCAUCUCUUAGCAUUGUGUUACCUGUCUUCUGGUAAAUCU